rnacentral:lncRNA from 1 species
UUUCAUAUUUUCUUCCCACAGAUUUUGUUUUUCACUCUUGUCAGUCAUAUCUGAAAGGCUGACAGUUACCAGGGGCUGUGGCCAGCACUAGGGAGAAUGUGUCAUUACUGGCUAUGUUGGCCAUAGCAACAUGUCUGUCUUGGAACAGAUCCAGCGUGGAUGAACAAACAGAAGAAUGUUUAAGAAGCCUUGUUACUGAAAGAGACCAAAGGUGAGUUCUGGGCCUGUCCACCAGAAACUUGAAUGACCAAUAACAGGAUAUUCACACAGUCAUUUUAUUUCUCAACAAAUUGUCAAUUUGACCAAGCAGAUAAUGAAUGGUGACUUAUUACUAGUUGGCAACUUCUCAAAAAGUCUGUGGUUGAGAAAGACCCUCAUUUCUCAUAACUCCAGCCAAUACUGAAUUACCCUGUCAAUCAGCACAUGUAGCUGGUUCCAUGAGUGUUGUUGUUAGUGGCAGCUGAGGCAUCUAAUACGAAUAAGACAUAUUUCUUAUUCACAAGAGAAGCUCAGAGUCAGUGGGAGAAAAAGAUGUGCAUUCUCACAUGCAAUGAGAGCUAUAAUAAAUGUAUGGAGAAGGUGCUACCAGAACACAGAGGGUUGGUUGAUUGAUUGAAAAAGUAUGAGGAAGAGGGGGAAGGAUCAGUAGAAUUUACCAAAAGGAAGGAUGAUUUAAGCAAAGAAGUGUAUCAGGUAUAAACACAUGAAGUCAGAGUAUUGGGCCUUUUCAGGGUAUAAGUGUACAAGGUACAGGGUACCUCAAGAGUCAUAAUCUCUGAGUGUUCAAGAGGUAUAUUUUUCCCAAUAAAUCCUAUUUUCGAGACUCGUGUCUUACUUUGAGCUCAAAAUCUAAUUUGAAACACACAUCUUAGCAAUAACCUCUUUGUCCCAACUGUCUCAGAUGAAUGCAUUGACCCCAGAAGUGGAAUUAUUGCUGGCGAGAUGGACAAACCUUACCCAGCAACUCUCACACUGUCACAUCCAGCCUGGAGUAGGAGCAGAGAAAAGCAGCUGUUCUGGGGUGGCCUUGGGUACAGAGAAAGGUCAGCCAGGCUUCAGGUCCACAGAAGGAGGGGACCUCUAGACUGAAGGCUGACACAGGAUCCAUGGUCAUCAGCUAUAGGGACUAGCACAGAAGACCAGAGGGACUUCACUCCUCUAGAUCCUAGAAGAAGAUUCCCUCUAUGGACCUCAGAUUCUCUUUAUAAAAUGACUGACUCUGACAGGGAUCCGCCAUUGGAAGGCUGUGUCUUAGGGUUCCAUGCAGAUACCUCAGUGGCUGGAGAUGAGAAAAAGUGAGACCAAGUUGGGAAGGCUAAACCUCCCCACCCUCACUCCAACCAAAGUAUUCUGAUUCCAUCAGAAACCCACAUAAGAUAAAGUUUGAAAACAGUUUGUUUUCUAGUUAUGAACGUGGAAAUCUUGGAAGAGAGAAUCAAGUGCUGACUCUCUCUGAUUCUAAGCCUCCUUUACUUCCUAGGCAAUCCCAUAGUACUUGAUUUAUGUAUCUCUAGAAUAUACAAUUUGACCUUGUAUGUUAGUCCAUUUUGCAUUAUUAAACCAACAUACCUGACACUGGAAAAUUUUAUAAAGAAGUUCAUAUAGCUCAUAUUUUGGGAAACUAAAAGUCCACACAAUCUGGAAGAGCAGGAGCUCUAUAGUGGGUAAUGAAGCACAUGCAGGAGAAAGGAAUCACAUCUCCAUAUGGGAAACCCAAGGGAGACUCAGGACUCCACCCUGGAGACCAGGCUUCCAACACAUGAACCUCUAGAAAAACAAGAAUAUACAAAUUAUAGCACCUUGUAUUAUUCUUUCUUUCAAAUAUUUGUACCUAUGUUUUCUCUUCUGAUUCUUUUCCAUUCUCUGCAAAAGCAAGUAUAUGGCUGUUCAAUAUUUCUAGACCUACUGGCCUCCUUCCUGUUCUUCAGAUCCACCACGCUCAUACCUUAGGGCCUUUGCAUUUGAAGUUUCCUCUAUGUAGAGUACCUUCUCCCUGAUGUCCAUAAAACUUGCUCCUUUACUUUUUUUAGGUACCUUAUCAAAUGUGGCCUUAUAUGAUGACCUUUCCUGAACACCUUAGAUAUAUCAGAACUCACAUUCCUCUUAUACUCUCUCUCUCUCUCUCCAAAGUCCCCUUAUUUUGCUUUAAUUUUCCCAUAGCACCACUUGCCAUAUUUUACAUUUCAUUUUUUGCUUCCCAUCUUACAAGAAUGUAAACUAUGGAGGGCAGGGACAGGGACUUUUCCACUGGGAAAUAGGACGCUGGAACAAAGAGUAGCACAGAAUUAUUACCCAAUCACCAGAAGCUCUUGAGACUCAUUGCCUGUCCAUCCAAGACUUCCUGUUACAUAAAGGUAGGAUCCUACCUGCAGCAACUCACAGUUUAGCGAAGUUUUCUUUUUGUCUAUAAUAUUCCAAACCAGUGGGCCAACAAAACUCAAUCCCAGUACUGACAACACCUGGACAGAGUGAUAAAGAGUAUAGAAUUUGGAGGCAGAGAAUUUGAAGUUUAGUCAUAACCAUGUUAUGAACUGGGAAAUGGGGAAUUAGGCAAGUUACUUCAUGUCUCCAAGCUUCAGUUGACCUAUCUGUAAAAUGAGGUAAUUAUUGACCUAUUAUGUGUGAGGAUAUAUAAAGCAGCAUGUGAAAAGUAGUAUGCAAUCUGUAAGGAACCAUAUUAGAUGUGGCUUCUGGAGAUGAGGAAGUAGGAAAUGUAGGCUUUAAGUUGCCCUUCAGCCCAUAUAGGAACUUCUGUUCCUCACCUGAUUUCUUUGGCAAUGGAGAUAAGAAUACCUGUCUCUACAAGAGGAAGUGAGGGGAAAGGGAAAAAUAAUACAAGGGGGAGAAAUGAAUGACAGUAG